GGGGAUGUAGCUCAGUGGCACAGCAUCUGCUUGGCAAGCACAAAGUCCUGAGUUCAAUUCCCAGUACCA
rnacentral:tRNA from 1 species